CGAGCGAACAGACGAGGAGCUUGCUCCUUUGACGUUAGCGGCGGACGGGUGAGUAACACGUAGGUAACCUACCUAUAAGACUGGGAUAACUUCGGGAAACCGGAGCUAAUACCGGAUAAUAUUUCGAACCGCAUGGUUCGAUAGUGAAAGGUGGCUUUGCUACCACUUAUAGAUGGACCUGCGCCGUAUUAGCUAGUUGGUAAGGUAACGGCUUACCAAGGCAACGAUACGUAGCCGACCUGAGAGGGUGAUCGGCCACACUGGAACUGAGACACGGUCCAGACUCCUACGGGAGGCAGCAGUAGGGAAUCUUCCGCAAUGGGCGAAAGCCUGACGGAGCAACGCCGCGUGAGUGAUGAAGGUCUUCGGAUCGUAAAACUCUGUUAUUAGGGAAGAACAAACGUGUAAGUAACUGUGCACGUCUUGACGGUACCUAAUCAGAAAGCCACGGCUAACUACGUGCCAGCAGCCGCGGUAAUACGUAGGUGGCAAGCGUUAUCCGGAAUUAUUGGGCGUAAAGCGCGCGUAGGCGGUUUUUUAAGUCUGAUGUGAAAGCCCACGGCUCAACCGUGGAGGGUCAUUGGAAACUGGAAAACUUGAGUGCAGAAGAGGAAAGUGGAAUUCCAUGUGUAGCGGUGAAAUGCGCAGAGAUAUGGAGGAACACCAGUGGCGAAGGCGACUUUCUGGUCUGUAACUGACGCUGAUGUGCGAAAG
rnacentral:rRNA from 1 species